AUAGCGUAUAUUAAAGUUGUUGCGGUUAAAACGCUCGUAGUUGGAUCUGCGGCCUCGACGUACGGUCUCCCGAAAGGGUAGUCACUGUCGCGUCAAGCCUAAAUUCGAGUUGUCCGUAGGUGCUCUUUAUUGAGUGCUUACGGCGACUAGAACGUUUACUUUGAAAAAAUUAGAGUGCUUAAAGCAGACGAAAUAGUCUGAAUAAGGUGCAUGGAAUAAUGGAAUAGGACCUCGGUUCUAUUUUGUUGGUUUUCGGAGCCUGAGGUAAUGAUUAAGAGGAACAGACGGGGGCAUUCGUAUUUCGGCGCUAGAGGUGAAAUUCUUGGACCGUCGCAAGACGAACUAAGG
rnacentral:rRNA from 1 species